rnacentral:lncRNA from 1 species
GUCCGGCUCCGAAACGUCCGGCGGUGAAACGUCCGUCGGCAAAACGUCCGCACACGGUCGAGAGUGUGAUCAGCCCGAGGCAACGGCAAUCGCAACCUCUGACCAUCUUCACGUGCUCAUUCCCCGAAGUUCACGACAAUUGCGAUCAGCAAAGAAUCGUUGUCUACACACUGGGUUCUCGAGGAAUAAAAUUGUAAUAGAGACCUGUUCAAGGCUGUUCAUAUUCUCCGUUGUGAGUUGUCUUGGAAUCGGGACUGCUCCAGCACAACUGACUCAAUAGGUGCGUAAGACCCGCUCAGUCACAGAGUGCACAACGCUUCAUCACCAGAGUAACUGUUUGGUCGCAAACAGUAGAGGCUGAGGCUGGAAGAUAAGUGUUGGUCCUUGUUAGGCGCUGUUAAGCUUUAGACAGCAGUCCGGCCUAAAGGACGAGACAGACCCGUGGUGGCACACAGCAGUGCCAGUGCUCAUCGCUUCAUCAUCAGCAGCUGUCUGGUCGCAGACAGUAGAGCUCGAGGUUGGUAAGCGUUGGUCCUCAUUAGGCGUGGUCAAGCUCUGACCGCUGUCACGGCCUAAGAGGUGAGGACGAGACACGUGGUGGCACACGGCAGUGCCCGAGUCUAUGCGCUCGUGACUGAGGCGGCUACGAUCGACGGAGGAUACGACAACAUGACAAGAGACUUGUGGGAAGAGACAAGUGGCGAGUGUGUGUUAGACAAGUUAUUGUGCUGUGUGUAGUAGUAAAUGUAAUGAUACCUGGACUAGGCAUGGGGAAGUAACGGGACACCUAGAGAGCGGCCAUAUUUGAAAUUGUAUAAUCUUGUAAAUUGAUUUGUAAACCUCUCGAUCAUUAAUAGCCUUCUUUAUUACAAUAAAUUGCCUUCUGUUGGUUAUUGUAGAUGCGCGCUGGGGGCUCAAGAGUCAAGUAAAGUAUAAUUAGCAAUUUAGUGUAAGUGUACACGUACGGUAAAUGUCGGAGUGAGUUGGUAGAGGUGUCGAGAGUGUGAUCAGCCCGAGACUACGGCAAUCGCAACCUCUGACCGUCUUCACGUGUUCAUUCUCCUGAGUUCACGACACCAGGUUCCAUUACUUUUGGUUCCAAUCGCUAUCUUCCUUUCCAGUCCUUUUCCCUCCCGCCCGUUUCUUCCUACCUUUCUUUUCUACUCACUACUUUCUCACCCCUUUCUCCUCUCUUUCCAACCUCUUUCCUGCACUUCACGUCUAUCUCCCCCUAUCUUUUGUCUCCUCCUUUUCACCUUCUUUCUAUAUCCCUUCUCUUCCCUCUCACUCUUUCCUUCUCAAUUUGCUUCCCUUUGGUCCAGCUCUUUUCUGGACUCUCCUUUCCUGUUCUCCCACCCUUAGCAACACGUUCAUCUCUUUUUUCUGUUCUCCUCUAACACUUUCAUCCACUUUUCUAACCACUUCUUCCUUUCCCCUUAUUUUCAUGUCCCUCCUCUUCCCUCAAACACGUUAGUCUCUUUCCUCCCUUCCUACCCUUUCUACUUUCCCUGUUCUCUCUUAACCUUUCUCUCAGUUUCCCCUUCACCCCUCAAGAGUGUGGGGCUCUACUGCUGGAGGAAGCAGCCACCAACGUCGCCACCUAAUGUUGCACGUGACUACGACUAUCAACUGACCCCAACAACAGGUGGGUAGGAGAGGACAGUGACUUUGUCCACCAAGACAUCAACGAUCACCUGACACUGAAUAUGGCGGUCAGUGACCACGCCGAGUAAAGCAGCAGCGGCUACCAGGAUAUACUUACAGGUUUCUCGCUACUCCACCAACUCUUUCUCGACUAAUGGGACUGGAUUAAAAGACUGGCGUGACCAUCACUGCCAUCAACGUGGCCAGCUCAUGUUGCUCGGUGACUACGACUAUCACACCAUCGACCUCAUCAACAGCUGGCUAGGAAAGGACGACGACUGCGCCGAACAAAGCAACGGCGGCUACCCAAGGGAUGUAUUCCUUUCCUAUUCCUUGCACUGUUUUCCUUCCUCUCUCUCCUUCCUAUCCUUUGGUACAUCGGCAACCAAUUUUUCAAAACAAACUGUAUUUCGUUCCCCUAAGUGGCAGCCACGUGGCAUCUUACAUCUUAACCAAUAACAAAAACUAAGAGGGCUUAAAAAAAAUCUCAAAAACCAAUAAAAUGUCAAAAUUAGAUAUAAAAACUUUAAUUUUUUUGUUAAUUUAUGAAUUAGAUGCAAAAGUGCAAACGUUAAGGGCCUAAAAAAUCUUUCCGUUUUGUGGUUGAUAAAAAUAUAUUAAAACCUUUGAAAUUAACACAAAUCUGAACGAAAAUAUGAGUAAACACGAUGCCGCUAGUAGGUCUGGGUCCACCGCUUUCAGCACCAAGUGGUGUAAAAUGGCGGGAGCCGCAGCCAUAUGGCAUCUGGAACUAUAUAUAUAUAAAACCAAUAAGAGUUAUAAACAUAAGGGUAACAAAAUGCUUAUGUAUAUAUGGGGUUGCAAAGAAAUUCAUAAAACCUUUGAGGGGAAAAUGUGAAUAAUGGCGAGAGUGGCAGCCACAUGGCAUCUCCAUGAAAAGUUGAAAACUUACAUGGCUUACAAAAGGCUUGUCCAUUUAUGUGGUUAAAAAAUCACAGCAUCUCACACAACCAAUACAAGUUUGAAGCUGUAAGAGCGCUUGCAAAAACUUGGCGAUUUAUGUGUCGAUACAGCAAAUCGUUAAAUACUUGCAAAAACAAAACUAUGUGAAACAGAAAUGAGAAGAUGCCUCUACUUCGCUAUUAAGUCUAUGUCAACAACUGCCCGCACAAAGCGAUACAAAAAUGGCGGGAGUAGCAAACUGGCAUCUCAAGGUUUUAAUCAUUGAUUGGUUUUAAGAGGGAACAAAGUGCUUAUCUUUUAUGUGGUUAAUCAUUUUAAAAUGUAAAAAAAUGAUCUCUAAAACGGAGAUGAAUAAGAUGCUUGCACUUUGCCAUGCUAGUAGGUCUGUGUCGACCACUUCCUGCACUAAUGGCGGAAGCGGCGGCCACAUGGCAUCUGGAACUAUCCAAUACGAGUUAUAAACAUAAGGAGCAACAAAAUACUUAUGCGUAUGUGUGGUUGCAAAAAAGAAAAUCACAAAACCUUUGACGGAAAAGUCUAUAAAACAGGAAUGAGUACGAUGCCUACACCUCAUCAUGCUAAGUCUGUGUCGACUGUUUCCCACACCAUGCAAUGCAAUAGGGCGCCAUUUUGCAUUGCUUGGUGUGGGAAGAGGUAGUCAACUGGUAUCUGUCAUAACUUCUUGUAGGAUAACGGAUGUACGUCACAGGUCUCUGGAUGCUAUGUGAACAGAGGCGAGCGAGUGAUUGUUCAGAGGGGAGUACAGGGUGGGGCGUGAAGCUGUCUGCGUUAAAGGGAUAUUAUAGUUUGUUUGUUGUUGUUUUUUUUUGUUGCUUCUUUUGUUGUUGUUUUUGGAUUGUUUUAUAUAAGUGUCGGGUAUGGAGCAGCGAGCAGACGGAGGGCGAGUGACGUCACCGUUUGUGUUUAGCUCCGCCUACAGGUCCGCCAUUUUGUUAUGGUCGUCAAGAGUUACGCGAUAAGAAAUAUGCACUCAAACCAAUAAAGAGUUAAAAACAUAAGGGGAAACAAAAUAUUUGAAUUAGAAGCAAAAAUGCAAACAGAAAGAGACACAAAAUCCUUCCGUUUAGUGGUUCAAGGUUGAUAAAAAAAAUCCAUUAAAAUCUGUAAAGACCGCUUCCUCCACCAAGCAAUUCAAAAUGGUGGAAGCGGCUGCCAACUGCAUCUCAAACUAAACAAUAAAGAGUUAUAAACAUGUGGUUGCAAAAAAACUCAUAAAACCUUUGACAGAGAGUUUUACUAAAUAUGAAUGAAUACGAUGCCUACACUUCGCCAUGUAGGUAGGUCUGGAUCGACCGCUUCCCGCACCAUGUGAUGAAUAAUGGCGGGAGUGGCAGACACAUGGCAUCUGGUACUAACCAAUGAAAAGUUAAAAACGUAUUUUUUUAUAUUUUUAAGGUCUUUAUAAAAUUACUCAUCGCAUUAAUGGAGACGCCUACUGCGCUGUGCAAGGUCCGUGUCCAUCUCUUUCCUCCUAAGACGAUACGAAAUGGCGGAAGCAUGUCAAGCUAACCAAUCAAAUGUCAACUUACAAGGUUCGGUUUUAUAUUCAUAACAAUUUUUUUUUAAAUAGCAAUAGAUUAGAUGAAAAAUUGCAAACAUAAGAGGCUUAAAAUGGUACAUAUUUACGUGGAUGACAAAAUAAAUCCCUUAGAAAAACAUGAACAAGAAAUGAAGAAGACAACUUUGCCAUCCUAGUCAGUCGAUCGCUUUUCGCUCACCAAAUGAUGCGAAAUUAGCGGAGGCGGCAACCACAUGGCACUUCAAGGUAACCCAUGCAAAGUUAAAAACUUAAUAGUCUUUCAAAACGCUUAUCAAUUUAUGUGGUUAUAAAACCUUAACAAUAUUUAAACAUAUAUAAAAAUUACAAAUGAAUGAGGUGAUGAUCCAUUGUAGAAGGUGUCAUCAAAAAUGGUGCAGCAAUGUCGGGAGCGGCAAUCACAGGGUAUCUUGAACUGACCAAUUAAAAAUUAAAUGUUGGGGACAUCGUCUAGAGAUGCUAGGCAGAGCACAUUAACCAGAGGAACGAAAAGUACUAGCAGUGGGUCACGUGGCACCCUGACCAUGCCUACUAAGCCACAAUGUCCGUCUGGUUAAUAGACGAUUGCUCGGCUUUGUUGCCAACACCUGUACUGUGCACCUGUACUGUACUUUUAUCAUGGAAAGCUUUCGCCCUGUUUUGUCGUAUUUAUCUCAUGCUAGAUUUUAUGUCAGGAAUGGGGAUUUGCAGUCUAUUAACGAGUGGCUACUCGUGUCAAAUGUACCGACAACGAUCGCCAUUGUCUCCAGCAGGUCAAUCACCGUCGUUAUCCAUUCAGUCUUUUUCGUUGUGUCCUUCAUCGCAGCUAAUGAAAUUCGGAUGACUGUGGAUUACCUCAGAUAAAUGGUCGUUCCAUAUCCGCCUUUACAUCUUGCACUAUGAUUUCUGUUCUUGUGGGUUUCCGUGUUACAUUGUUUGUUUGUACAGUUACCAAGUCAAACCCUAAGUUUGGUGCAAUGUAUGUGAGUAACUUGGGACACUUGGUACCUCUUGCGCGUGAUAAGGCACGAUAACCGCAUCGAUUCUGUUACGUGGCCCAGUUUUUAUGUAAAUUUUUAUGUAAAUGUUAACAGACUGUUCUUUUGUGAAGUUAGUACCGCGGACUUUUUCUUUGGUUGUUCUGUGCAAUCUUGCUACACAAAGGUUUGUGCGCUUCAGCUGUCCACGUCUAGCGACCUUAAUUAAUACACGUGGCCUCUGACCGAUAAUCUGUGAAAAAUGUCAACCAUCUUUGCAGUGUCAUAGAUAGUUGUUAUAGUUUCAAGAUUAGUUGCUUGGUGCCUUUGGGGUAACCCUUCUCAAUUUUUUUUGUUUUCCCCCGAGACAUCUAUUCAACAACACUGCGGCCAAGAAAGUGGAUUCACGUGGACGGCUGAGGAAACAUAAGAUGAACAUUGCAAUACAUCGGUGGUUUGAAGGUCAUUCGGGAACAAACUCUGCCGACAAGAGGAAUAAAGAAACUGCAAUGGAAGGAAUGGAAAACCAGUCCAGUCAAUUCUACAAGGGAACAAAAAAAAAAAAAAAAAAAAAAAAAAAAGGACAAAGACAUUGAGGACCUUCAGUUAGAAGGUGAAAUCUUCUAUACGCUUUUGUGAGGUCACAGGCUUGAUGGUGAGGCCAUGGAACGCUUUUGGUCUUGCCUAGGUUUGCAUGGAGCAAAGGAAUGACUUUCCAACAGGAAGAUCUGCAAAAGCAGCACUUUACUUUGCUGAUACAAAGUAUCCAUUGCUGAGACACUGUAUUUGAGACUUAAGAAGGAAGGAGAAACGAAGGCAAAAUCCAAGAAUGUCAUCACAGCAUGAAAGCAAGUAGUGGCCACUAUUCAUCGGACAAAGUUCCGUGAUGUCAUCCCAUUCCUCUGAUAUCAAGUAUACAGAUGCCAGGACAAACAUGAGAAACUUUACAUUUUUGGCGUGGAACUGAGAAUUGCGAGAGGAUGUAGUUAGCACUGAGUUUUCUCUGUGCGAGUUGUCUAAGUAGAAUUAUUUGGUUUUUACACUGUCUUGGAGAGUAUUCGUGUUAUUGUGACCUGACCAGAACUAGCUUUAAAAAAAGCUAACAAAGAAGAACAGAGAAGUAGACAGCGGGCACUUCAGUAAAAGACGAGAUGCCCAUGGACAGGUCGUUGUUUUGUGUUGUUGAAAGAACGCGUGUGGACGCCGUGUGUGUGUUGCUCUUGUGAGAGUAGCGUCCGUGACAGUCACGUCUCAGUCACGUGAUCGACAUACUCUUUAAAUAAAGUGUUCUCAGCUGCAAUUUCUGGCACAUCCAAUAGUCAGUUAAAAAUAGGAAACCUUACAAAAGACAUCAGACCAUGAAAACUUUUUAUUGGCUCUCUUUUUGAAGCUAUUUGAUAGUUCAUUGUCUGUGUUUCACCGUGUUCAUGUACCCAGUAGGACUGUAGCAUCCUAAAUAAGCCUAAAAUGACGUCAUGCUGCAUCAUUUUGCAUAAUAACGUCAUGCACACGUCAUCCAUUGCAAAAGAAGUGGAGAAAAGUCUUCCCCAGCAUGUCGUCUGCAGUGAGACCAGUUCAAUAUGGUGAGGGACUUCCUAUUCCAGAACCUCCAGCAGAAUAUUCUCUUGAUUCAGCUGAUGAAGACGAGGGUGGGCCGACCUGUUCUUCUCCUGGUCAGUCAGCAUGCAGUGAUCCAGAUUUUCACUGUUGUGUAUCAUCAACCCCACAAAGAAUAACACGGGAAGAACUUAAUGACCUGGUUCGUAUCCAAGUACAAGGCAGAAUUGCCAAGUUCUAGACUCCAACAGUGAAAUCUUCUACAAGAUGUCACAAUUACUUCAGAUCGAAAGCGCCACAAGCAGUUGAAGCCUUUCUUCAGAAUGGAAGGCAAUCUGUUUCGAUACUGAGGGCCUCGUGAAUGCCUUAGAAAUAACUCAUGGCCUACAAGAAUGUAGACUAUUUGUAGACUCUUCAAAACUGGCUGUGCUCUUGCACAAUGGAAACCGUCUUCCAUUUAUUCCAGUAGCGCACGCAGGAAAGAGAGGACAACUGUGGUAUGGUUAGUUAUAAACAUGGCCAACGCUUUCAUCACGAUAUGACAACAGUGGAAAAAGAUACCAUGGAAAAUUGUCCACUGCAAUGCUGGCUGACUACUGCUGGACAAUCCCCCAGAGAUGCUCCCUAACAUCUGUACAAGAGACAGAAAUCUCAGACGUAGUCGAUGACUUCAUUUGUUACAGGUAUUAACCAAAGCUCCAUUACUAUUAGCAUGCAUUUCGUGAAGUACACUGUAUUCAAUAAUUGUUGUAGAUCACGCACGCACGCACGCUACUGUUGUUGCCAAGACUGGGUGAUGGGUGGCUAGCCAGUCUAGAAAAGACCUCAGUAGGCGGGGGAUGUGGGUCACGUGGUACAUCUUGGCGCUCGCCUGCGGACAUGUGGACAGGAGGUUGAACAGCAGGGCUCUAAACAGUCAAGUACAAGUUAGGUUUAGUAGAUAAUAUAAACUGUAUGAAUAGAACGUCACAUCAGACCACAAAGUGUGAUAAUUCUUUCUUAAACUAAGUUUUUACCCCUCACCUAAAAUUUUCAUGCAUUUUCACGCUCUCUCUCUCUCUCUCUCACACACACAUAAACACACCCACACACACACACCACUCACUCACACACAUACACCACUGGUACAUUACACACAAAACCACUCACACACCACACAUACACCACGCACGCCACACACCAUUCACACACACCACUGACACACCACACAUACACCAUCAGACCUGCACAACUCAUUACAAUCAGUUUCAGUCAGCUCUAUUCAGGUGUUUCAGGUUUUAUACGAUGAGAUAAUAAAAUCAGAAGAAUUUUCGUGUGAUCUUGAUGUGGAACUUAUCGUCAACAACUACCUCUCCGACCUCAAUGUUGACAGUGGCGUUUUGACGUGUAAACUGUUGAGGGGACGCAACUCUCUCUGUAAAUGGCUGCUCUGUGGCUGUUGUUGUGAUUAUCCCAGGUUCCCCUUUUUGUGCAAUUCUUUCUCCAUCUUCCUGUACAACGUCCCUGUGAGGUACCGAGAUUUCCGCUUCUUCCGCCUGAGGCAGCAGAAAAUCUUAGAUCGCCCUCCACGGCAACAAAGGCUACGCCGUGUCCUGCCACUACGCCUCCCUCGUGCACAGCGGCAAUGACCUCACGUAGUACGUCACGCGCAUAGUCUGACGUCAUGCAGUUACUUUCUGACAGGUCAAGGACGGUCAUGUCGGGAAGGUUGAGAGCGGCCUGUGACAGGCGCAACGCCCCCAGGGGCGAAAUCAUAGAAUACUGAAGAAGAAGUUCCUGAAGACGAGGCAGACAAUGAAGUCCAUCAGCCAGGUAGACGGCGCCACUUUCUGUCACAGGAUUGUGGAUGAGGUUGAGGUGACGAAGGUACUUGAAGACGCCUCGGCGCACGGCGUCCGCCAGAAGCCUGAAGCUGUUGUCGUCCAAGUCGUUCUCCUGUAGCA